rnacentral:rRNA from 1 species
GAUGAACGCUGGUGGCGUGCCUAAUACAUGCAAGUCGAGCGAACAGACGAGGAGCUUGCUCCUCUGACGUUAGCGGCGGACGGGUGAGUAACACGUGGAUAACCUACCUAUAAGACUGGGAUAACUUCGGGAAACCGGAGCUAAUACCGGAUAAUAUAUUGAACCGCAUGGUUCAAUAGUGAAAGACGGUUUUGCUGUCACUUAUAGAUGGAUCCGCGCCGCAUUAGCUAGUUGGUAAGGUAACGGCUUACCAAGGCUACGAUGCGUAGCCGACCUGAGAGGGUGAUCGGCCACACUGGAACUGAGACACGGUCCAGACUCCUACGGGAGGCAGCAGUAGGGAAUCUUCCGCAAUGGGCGAAAGCCUGACGGAGCAACGCCGCGUGAGUGAUGAAGGUCUUCGGAUCGUAAAGCUCUGUUAUUAGGGAAGAACAAAUGUGUAAGUAACUAUGCACGUCUUGACGGUACCUAAUCAGAAAGCCACGGCUAACUACGUG